AACCUAGCACACCUGCGGUGUGUACCUGCGGAGGGAUCAUUACCGAGUUUACAACUCCCAAACCCCAAUGUGAACGUUACCAAUCUGUUGCCUCGGCGGGAUUCUCUUGCCCCGGGCGCGUCGCAGCCCCGGAUCCCAUGGCGCCCGCCGGAGGACCAACUCCAAACUCUUUUUUCUCUCCGUCGCGGCUCCCGUCGCGGCUCUGUUUUAUUUUUGCUCUGAGCCUUUCUCGGCGACCCU
rnacentral:misc_RNA from 1 species